rnacentral:misc_RNA from 1 species
UACGUAGGGGACUAGCGUUGUUCGGAAUUACUGGGCGUAAAGGGCGCGUAGGCGGACUAUUAAGUCAGGGGUGAAAUCUCGGGGCUCAACCCCGGAACUGCGCUGGAUACUGGUAGUCUGGAGUUCUGGAGGGGUGAGUGGAAUUCCGAGUGUAGAGGUGAAAUUCGUAGAUAUUCGGAGGAACACCAGUGGCGAAGGCGGCUCACAGGCCAAAUACUGACGCUGAGGUGCGAAAGUGUGGGGAGCAAACAGG